rnacentral:rRNA from 1 species
AGCCACAGCCAUAUCACCCUGCAGCCCAAGACUGGUUACUCGCUGAAGCUAAGCAGAGCCUGGUCAGUACCUGGAUGGUAGACCACAUGGAAAAACUAGGUUGCUGUUGGAA